rnacentral:rRNA from 1 species
GAUGAACGCUGGCGGCGUGCCUAAUACAUGCAAGUCGAGCGAAUGGAUUAAGAGCUUGCUCUUAUGAAGUUAGCGGCGGACGGGUGAGUAACACGUGGGUAACCUGCCCAUAAGACUGGGAUAACUCCGGGAAACCGGGGCUAAUACCGGAUAACAUUUUGAACCGCAUGGUUCGAAAUUGAAAGGCGGCUUCGGCUGUCACUUAUGGAUGGACCCGCGUCGCAUUAGCUAGUUGGUGAGGUAACGGCUCACCAAGGCAACGAUGCGUAGCCGACCUGAGAGGGUGGUCGGCCACACUGGGGCUGAGACACGGCCCAGACUCCUACGGGAGGAAGCAGUAGGGAAUCUUCCGCAAUGGACGAAAGUCUGACGGAGCAACGCCGCGUGAGUGAUGAAGGCUUUCGGGUCGUAAAACUCUGUUGUUAGGGAAGAACAAGUGCUAGUUGAAUAAGCUGGCACCUUGACGGUACCUAACCAGAAAGCCACGGCUAACUACGUGCCAGCCGCCGCCGUAA